GAUCCUGGCUCAGGAUGAACGCUGGCGGCGUGCUUAACACAUGCAAGUCGAGCGAUGAAGUUUCCUUCGGGAAAUGGAUUAGCGGCGGACGGGUGAGUAACACGUGGGUAACCUGCCUCAUAGAGUGGAAUAGCCUUUCGAAAGGAAGAUUAAUACCGCAUAAUGUUGAAAGAUGGCAUCAUCAUUCAACCAAAGGAGCAAUCCGCUAUGAGAUGGACCCGCGGCGCAUUAG
rnacentral:rRNA from 1 species